rnacentral:lncRNA from 1 species
CCCCUAGGUCGCGGGGCAGCCGGGGCGGAAGGGGCUUGUUCAUUAUUUUGAGAGUUUGUUGUGAACGUCAUAACCUUUCGUCCUUAAAUAUUGCCGAUACUUGACCUACGCAAGAGACAAUGUCAUGUGAUUCAGCCUAAUAUCUCAGAGGAUGCAGCAUUCAAGGUUCUAUCUUGGAAGCAGAGACUGUGCCCUCACCAGAUGCUGAACCUGCUGAGCACCCUGAUCUUCCACUUCACCUUCAUCAGAACUACUGCUGUGAUUGCACCUGCCAUCUUAUGCAGAAAUGACCUGAAGACAGACUGAAACAACGUGUUCUACAGCCUGAAAAUAUCUACCUUGACUUACAGUUUUAUUAAUGCUGGUGUGAUCAGACUGGACAAAAAUUAGCAUAUGUUAUUAACUGAUCUAAUUCAAGUGCCAAUUCUUAAUAGAAACACAAAACAAUAAAAGCAAUUCAGAAAAUA